rnacentral:rRNA from 1 species
CCGGGAAUUAUUGGGCGUAAAGCGCGCGUAGGCGGUUUUUUAAGUCUGAUGUGAAAGCCCACGGCUCAACCGUGGAGGGUCAUUGGAAACUGGAAAACUUGAGUGCAGAAGAGGAAAGUGGAAUUCCAUGUGUAGCGGUGAAAUGCGCAGAGAUAUGGAGGAACACCAGUGGCGAAGGCGACUUUCUGGUCUGUAACUGACGCUGAUGUGCGAAAGCGUGGGGAUCAAACAGGAUUAGAUACCCUGGUAGUCCACGCCGUAAACGAUGAGUGCUAAGUGUUAGGGGGUUUCCGCCCCUUAGUGCUGCAGCUAACGCAUUAAGCACUCCGCCUGGGGAGUACGACCGCAAGGUUGAAACUCAAAGGAAUUGACGGU